rnacentral:rRNA from 1 species
AACGCUGGCGGCGUGCUUAACACAUGCAAGUCGAACGGUGAACUCGGAGCUUGCUCCGAGGGAUCAGUGGCGAACGGGUGAGUAACACGUGAGUAACCUGCCCUUGACUUUGGGAUAACUUCAGGAAACUGGGGCUAAUACCGGAUAGGAGCUCCUGCUGCAUGGUGGGGGUUGGAAAGUUUCGGCGGUUGGGGAUGGACUCGCGGCUUAUCAGCUUGUUGGUGGGGUAGUGGCUUACCAAGGCUUUGACGGGUAGCCGGCCUGAGAGGGUGACCGGCCACAUUGGGACUGAGAUACGGCCCAGACUCCUACGGGAGGCAGCAGUGGGGC